UGAGAGUAUAAGUCGGAUCAGCUGCUGUAAAAACCUCACUCGCUAAUCCUUCCCUUCAACUUUCGCCGCCGCGAUCCUGCUCGAGAUAGGCAAAAAAGGAAAAUGCAAGGGAUAUACCAGGCCAUCUGUUCACAUGGAAAUAUUCUCAAGUACUCUAUCCUGAAACAUGUACGUGUUGUAGCUCCAGUUGCCCGGCCACUUAUAUUUUCACGAGCCGAGACAGUGGCUGCUACUAAACUAGAAGAGCAUGGAUUUGAGAGUACAACGAUUGCAGAUGUUUUGAAUGCCAAAGGAAAAGGUGCUGAUGGGUCCUGGCUCUGGUGCUCUACUGAGGACACUGUGUAUGAUGCUGUGAAAUCUAUGACACAGAACAAUGUAGGAGCUCUGGUGGUGCUAAGUCCUGGAGCAGAUAAAGCGAUUGCUGGAAUUAUUACUGAAAGAGAUUAUCUUCGGAAAAUUAUUGUUCAAGGAAGAUCGUCAAAGACUACUAAAGUUGGCGACAUCAUGACUGAAGAGAAUAAGUUGAUCACUGUGACACCAGAUACCAAAGCCCUAAAGGCCAUGCAACUCAUGACAGGGAACCCAAUGAGGGAAUGGAGACCUAGCAAGCGAAACUGAGUGGGAGAGAGCACGGGCUUCUUUGUCUGAAGAAAGUAGGAAAAAUUAUUUUGUCCGGAUUCCAGCCCCCAAUGAAAAUGCGCCACGUCCGGUACCGAGUUUAUACCGAGCGGUACUCGGUACCGCUCGGUAUCUGAACGUGAACCGGAUGGUUCUCCUGUCCGGUGUCCGCCCAGAAUAUCUUUCGAAGAAUAGAGAGGAAGAAUGAGAGGAAUUUUCAGGAGGGCUUCUGGCGCGGGAGAGAGCAUUGGGAGCGGGACAUCCAUGAAAGGGAGGUAGAGAGUGGUUGCCUUCCUCAAUUAGAUCUUUGAAGUUGCUCGUGGCAAUCAACAGUUGAAAGGAGGCUUUUUCUGGCUGAUACUUGAAUCAUGGAGCCAAUAUCUAAGCGAAGUUUAAAAAGAAAAUGGCAUGAAAACUAGG